rnacentral:lncRNA from 1 species
CAAAAGGGCCAGGUCACCAAGCACAUGGGGGCAGCAGGGCAAGCUGCAAAGUCUAUCCAGUGGAUGGCACAACUGCAAGGACCAUGGAUCAUCCAGCAAAGCCCAGCAGGCUUGGUCUUACCAUUUGCUCCCUGAAUCUGUCAUGCAAUCAACAUGCUGGGUUGCUGGUGAGUACAAGAAAAUUAGGAUGACUGCGGAACAGACCUGAACCUGACCUGAAGCCUCAGAGA